rnacentral:ncRNA from 1 species
CAACCUCAACUCAUAUGGGACUACCCCCUGAAUUUAAGCAUAUUAAUUAGGGGAGGAAAAGAAACUAACAAGGAUUUUCUUAGUAGCGGCGAGCGAAAAGAAAUCAGUUCAGCACUAAGUCACUUUGUCUAUAUGGCAAAUGUGAGAUGCAGUGUACGGAACAUCAACAUUCUAGUAUGAGAAGUUAACGAUUUAAGUCCUUCUUAAAUGAGGCCAUUUACCCAUAGAGGGUGCCAGGCCCGUAUAACGUUAAUGAUUACUAGAUGGUGUUUCCAAAGAGUCGUGUUGCUUGAUAGUGCAGCACUAAGUGGGUGGUAAACUCCAUCUAAAACUAAAUAUAACCAUGAGACCGAUAGUAAACAAGUACCGUGAGGGAAAGUUGAAAAGAACUCUGAAUAGAGAGUUAAAUAGCACGUGCAAAGUGCUUAGAGGUCAAUCCCGACGAACCUUAUUAUCUCCAUAUGGAAAACUUAUCAUUAUUAUUGCAAUUUUUUACCAUUUUUUAAUAAACUUACCUCUCUUAUUCUUUUCUAAUAUGUUUAUAGUCAUGAAUACACUAUUAAUAGUUUAUAUUUAAAUUACAAUCUAAUAACACCUAUUAAAAUUCACCCGCUCCUUCCCACUACCCUGCCAUUAUUUAUUCUAUUACGCUUUACCCACGACCAUCAACCAACUCUCAAACAUGACUUUCCUUAC